rnacentral:rRNA from 1 species
UACGUAGGGGGCAAGCGUUGUCCGGAUUUAUUGGGCGGAAAGAGCGUGUAGGCGGCCAGGUAGGUCUGCUGUGAAAACUCGAGGCUUAACCUCGAGCUGUCGGCGGAAACCAUCUGGCUAGAGUCCGGAAGAGGAGAGUGGAAUUCCUGGUGUAGCGGUGAAAUGCGUAGAGAUCGGCAGGAACACCCAGGGGGAAACCAGUGGACUGGCACGGUGCUGACACUCAGGUGCGAAAGCGUGGGGAGCGAACCGG